CCCCCAACCCAGUGCACCUGGAGGUGGCUUUAACUUCGCAGCGGCCCCUACCUUUAUUGGGUCAACGAAGAGCACCACCUUCACUGCAGCCCCUGCAGGACAGAACUCAAUCGCUAGACGCAAGAUCAAAACAGCUGUCCGGCGUAAGAAGUAAAACAUCCAUCGGACUAGACUUGACCCUUUCAAGCAUAGACGGGACUACUUCCUCUGGACAAACACUGAAGUACUUAGCAUGUGAAGAAAGAUGCUAUGAUGAAGCCCCUAUCUGGGGAUGUAUGGGUGAUAUUCUGAUGGGUGGGUGGGUGGUAGACCCAAGAGCAACUAGAGAGAGGGACCCUCGUACAGAGCAGGUGUCAGACUUUAAAAAAUAAAUAAACUGCAAAUGAACCUAUGAUGGCAACAACACAAUCAAGCGAGAAACGUCUGCUCAACAAACAGGAAAGAUGUAUAUUUUCAACACCUCCAAAUGUCUGCUAGAACAUUGUCAUGACUUUUUGUAAUUAAAAUAUAAAUGCAAAAACUGAAAUUGAAAGAGUUGAUAGUGUAAAAAUCUUACUGUUGCUUUGAUUAGUAUGGGUGAUCAGGUUAUGAACUGCUAAAGUUCAUGCAGAGGUUAAUAAAAGCCGUGGGACGAAUUCCAAAUGGCACCCUACUCCCUAUGUAGUGCACUUUGUUUAACCCAUGAGUUUGAAGCAGUGUACAUCAUGGGGUCUGGAAUAGGGUGCAAUUUCAGACGUUGCCAUGGUGUCAAUGGCGUGUAUGCUGUAUGUACAGGUUUCUGUGUACUGAAUGACUGUGUUUGUUUUGAGGUGUUUGGUUUCAUUGUACAUGUUGAGGGGUGUGUGUGUGUGUGUGUGUGUGUGUGUGUGUGUGUGUGUAUAUGUGUAUAAACUGAAUGGAAGUGUCAUGUGUGGUAGUGGCCGGUUGAGGCUGUCAGACAGUCGUAGGUGAGAAGCAUAUGAAUGUGUUUAAAUGGAGGCAGUAAGGAGGAUGGGGAAGAGAGGCCCGUGGAGAUUGGGGCCGGAGGCUGACUCCUAAAAUACCCUCCUUAGGACUUUGUACAUCUGUAGUUCCAAAUCUGUUCACUGUUCUUACUUUUUAUUUUUUACCCCUCUGUCGCUCUCCUCUCCUUUAUUCUCAUAUUUUCUCUUGUUCCCUCUUUCUCUUCCCUUUAUUAUGAUUCAUGUUCUUUCCCUUCACCUUCUGCCGCUCUCUCUUAAUUGGCCUUUGAAUAUUAUAAAAACCUGUAAAUAGUCAUUUGCUUUUUUUUUUUAUCUGUGAAGUUGAAUUUGUGUGUUAAACCAACUCCGCAUUCAGCAUUUUUGUCAUUAGAAUUUAUUAUGUAAAUCCCUAUAUUCAAAGUUGCCUGAAAUCCAUUUAAAAAAAACUUAAAUGCAAAUUGGGAUCCUUUGAAGACUAAAAGUAUAUUGGCAUUUCUGAUCCACUUUUGUUUGGACCAAAACCAGUAUUGUACAAAGUAUUAGUAUAUAUUUUUCUAUUGCUUGUUUAAAUGGACUAGGGUGACUUUGGAUAAUAAGGAAGUCGAUUUCAUUUUAAAGCCAUGAUUGUUACUGGAUGAGUAAUAAAAUAAGAUCCAUGGGUAAUUGCCAUCAAUAAAACUAUAAUAUGUAA